rnacentral:sRNA from 1 species
UUAAGGCCUCAGUAAGGCAGAAAUAGUUUUACGGUAUUCAAAGAUUUAACUUUCAUUUAUAUUAAGGAGGCCGUUAACAUGACUGGCAAAGUAAAAUGGUUUAAUUCAGAAAAAGGAUUUGGAUUUAUCGAGCGUGAAGGUGGAGACGACGUAUUUGUACACUUCUCUGCAAUUCAAGGGGAAGGCUUCAAAACAUUAGAAGAAGGCCAAGAGGUUGAAUUCGAAAUCGUUGAUGGCGAUCGUGGUCCACAAGCUGCUAACGUAGUAAAACUUUAAUUUUUAACAAUACAUCAAAAGCUUACUCUUGAUAUUAUCAGGAGUAGGCUU